rnacentral:rRNA from 1 species
AGGGCGUACGGUGGAUGCCUAGGCAUACAGAGGCGAUGAAGGACGUGCCAAGCUGCGAAAAGCUGCGGGGAGCUGCAAAGAAGCGUUGAUCCGCGGAUGUCCGAAUGGGGCAACCCAUCCCGGUUUACCGGGAUAUCCGUCAGCUGACGGAGGCUUACGAGGGGAACUGAAACAUCUAAGUACCCUUAGGAAGAGAAAACAAUAGUGAUUUCCCAAGUAGUGGCGAGCGAACGGGAGGUAGCCCAAACCAGGGGAUGCUUGCAUCCUGUGGGGUUGUAGGACUUACCAUAAGACCAAUCAAGGUGAAUUGAAGCUGUCUGGAAAGCAGCGCCACAGAAGGUGAAAGCCCUGUAAGUGAAGCUGGCGUUGGUUGGUAAGGAUCCUGAGUAGUGCGGGACCGGCGAAAUCCUGCAUGAAUCUGGCGGCACCAUCCGCCAAGGCUAAAUACGUCUGUAUGACCGAUAGUGGACUAGUACCGUGAGGGAAAGGUGAAAAGAACGCCGAGAAGGCGAGUGAAAUAGUACCUGAAACCGUGCGCUUACAAGCGGUCGGAGUCUCGAUGCAUGACUGAGUCUAUAAGACGAGCUUUACGCGAGCCGUCCCGAAAGCCUUCGGGAGCGAGCGAAAAGCCCCAGCCAUGGCAGUGAAAUAGCUGUUGGUGGCGGGAUGUUUUGUGGACUGAGUCAUGUGUCGGGAUGACGGCGUGCCUUUUGUAUAAUGAGCCUACGAGUUGCGCCUGUCGUGCGAGGUUAAUCCGUUCAGCGGAGAAGCCGAAGCGAAAGCGAGUCUGAUAAGGGCGAGCAGUACGGCGGGGCAGACGCGAAACCGAGUGAUCUAUCCAUGGUCAGGGUGAAGCUGGGGUAACACCUGGUGGAGGCCCGAACCGCCUGGCGUUGAAAAGCCAUCGGAUGAAUUGUGGAUAGGGGUGAAAGGCCAAUCAAACUCGGAAAUAGCUCGUACUCCCCGAAAUAUAUUUAGGUAUAGCGUCUGCCGUGUAGCUACAUGGAGGUAGAGCACUGAUUAGGCUAGGGCCCUUCACCGGGUACCAAACCUAGACAAACUCCGAAUGCCGUGUAGUGUUGGCAGGCAGUCAGUGGCAGGGUGAUAACGUCCUGUCGCGAGAGGGAAACAACCCAGACCAUCAGUUAAGGUCCCAAAAUACCAGCUAAGUUGAAUAAAGAAAGUUGGAUUGCCCAGACAACCAGGAGGUUGGCUUAGAAGCAGCCAUUCCUUAAAAGAGUGCGUAAUAGCUCACUGGUCGAGCGAUCCGGCGUCGAUAAUUUGCGGGCAUAAGCUGGUUACCGAAACUAUGGAUUCUACCAUGUAGAGUGGUAGGGGAGCAUUCCAGCGGCGCAGAAGUCGCCCCGUGAGGGGUGGUGGAGCUUCUGGAAGCGAAACUGUAGGCAUGAGUAACGAUAAGACGGGUGAGAAACCCGUCCACCGAAAACCCAAGGGUUCCUGAUCAACGCUAAUCGGAUCAGGGUUAGUCGAGACCUAAGGUGUAGCCGAAAGGCGAAGCCGAUGGAAAACCGGUUCAAUAUUCCGGUACCGACAUCAAUGCAAAGGCAAAGGCGUGACGCAGAAGUGACACUUCCGCCCCGUGACGAACGUCGGGGUUGAAGGGUGUAGGCCGGGCAGCAGGCAAAUCCGCUGCCCAUACGGCUGAAACCCGACAGUACCGGGAGGCUUCGGCCAAACGGAUAGUGAAGGUAAUCUGGCUGCCAAGAAAAGCGUCGUUGUUUGUUGAUGUUGCUCGUACCUUAAACCGACACAGGUGGGUGAGGAGAGAAUCCUCAGGUGCUCGAGAGAAUCGUGGCUAAGGAACUAGGCAAAUUCGAUCCGUAACUUCGGGAGAAGGAUCCCCUGCCCGUAAAAAGGUGGGGCGCAGUGAAAAGGUUCAAGCGACUGUUUACCAAAAACACAUGUCUCUGCUAAGCCGCAAGGCGACGUAUAGGGACUGACACCUGCCCGGUGCCGGAAGGUUAAAGAAGGGAGUUAGCUUCGGCGAAGCUCUUGACUGAAGCCCCGGUAAACGGCGGCCGUAACUAUAACGGUCCUAAGGUAGCGAAAUUCCUUGUCGGGUAAGUUCCGACCUGCACGAAUGGUGUAACGACUUGAACACUGUCUCGGCCACGAGCUCGGUGAAAUUGUGGUAUCGGUGAUGACGCCGAUUACCCGCAGCGGGACGGAAAGACCCCGUGAACCUUUACUACAACUUUACAUUGGCUUCGGCAACUGCAUGUGCAGGAUAGGCGGGAGACGGUGAAGCGGGCGCGCCAGCGUCUGUGGAGUCGCCCUUGAAAUACCGCCCUUGAAGUUGCUGGAUUCUAAUCCGCCGGUUGGCGGAGACAUUGUAUGGUGGGUAGUUUGACUGGGGCGGUCGCCUCCUAAACAGUAACGGAGGCUCCCAAAGGUACCCUCAGCAUGGUUGGCAAUCAUGCGCAGAGUGUAAAAGCAUAAGGGUGCUUGACUGUAAGGCAUACAGGCCGAGCAGGAACGAAAGUUGGGUUUAGUGAUCCGGUGGCACCGCAUGGAAGGGCCAUCGCUCAAAGGAUAAAAGGUACUCCGGGGAUAACAGGCUUAUCUCCCCCAAGAGUUCAUAUCGACGGGGAGGUUUGGCACCUCGAUGUCGGCUCAUCACAUCCUGGGGCUGGAGAAGGUCCCAAGGGUACGGCUGUUCGCCGUUUAAAGUGGUACGCGAGCUGGGUUCAGAACGUCGUGAGACAGUUCGGUCCCUAUCUGCUGUGGGCGUAGGAAUUUUGAGGAGAGCUGCUCCUAGUACGAGAGGACCGGAGUGGACGCACCGCUAGUGUACCUGUUGUGACGUCAGUUGCAUCGCAGGGUAGCUAUGUGCGCAUGUGAUAAGCCGCUGAAUGCAUCUAAGCGCGAAGCACACUCCAAGAUAAGAAUUCCCCAAAGAGUCCUGGAAGACGACCAGGUUGAUAGGCGGCAGGUGUACGCAUAGCAAUAUGUUUAGCCGAGCCGUACUAAGUACUCUUCAGUCUUACCC